rnacentral:rRNA from 1 species
CACGUAGGGUGCGAGCGUUGUCCGGAAUUAUUGGGCGUAAAGAGCUCGUAGGCGGUGUGUCGCGUCGGCCGUGAAAACCUGUGGCUUAACUGCGGGCUUGCGGUCGAUACGGGCAUCACUGGAGUUCGGCAGGGGAGACUGGAAUUCCUGGUGUAGCGGUGAAAUGCGCAGAUAUCAGGAGGAAUACCGGUGGCGAAGGCGGCAUCCUGGACCGGCAUUGACGCUGAGGCGCGAAAGCCAGGGGAGCAAACGGG